CAGUCGCCGCGGGAAUACGUAGGUGGCAAGCGUUGUCCGGAAUUAUUGGGCGUAAAGGGCUCGCAGGCGGUUUCUUAAGUCUGAUGUGAUAGCCCCCGGCUCAACCGGGGAGGGUCAUUGGAAACUGGGAAACUUGAGUGCAGAAGAGGAGAGUGGAAUUCCACGUGUAGCGGUGAAAUGCGUAGAGAUGUGGAGGAACACCAGUGGCGAAGGCGACUCUCUGGUCUGUAACUGACGCUGAGGAGCGAAAGCGUGGGGAGCGAACAGGAUUAGAUACCCCUGUAGUCCCUGUCUCUUAUAC
rnacentral:rRNA from 1 species